UUGGAGUGCCUGAGUGUCUGAGUGUCCCUGUCUUUCUAGCUCUGGCACAGAUGGGGACUUGGAGAAGGAGGUAGCGGGCUGCUGGACCUCCCACUCGGAGUCAAAAUCCCUCUGCUGCCAGGCACCAAGCCUGUCUUCUACAGAACAAAGCUGGGGGAAAAGCUGCACCAGCCUUCCGCUCAGUUUCAUCUGGAAGAUCCAUAUUGUCGCCUACUGCGCACAGAGUACAACUGCCUGCACGACCCGCAUCUGCAGGCCUACUACAAUCACAAAGACAGCCUGCAGAGCCUGAAGAGCAAGGGCUUCAUCACCAGCAGCGGCAAAGUGGUCUGCUCUCUCAAGGAGUUCAAUGAGUACAGGCAGUAUUUGACCACGCUCAAGCUGGAAGCGGAGAAAAUCAAGAGGCAAGAAGAGGAAAAGCUUCAGCAACAGCUCGCCAAGUUAAAGAAACUUGACGCAAGACUGAUGGCGGGGAGCGACCGUUCUCGCCAGAGCUCCUCCAGUAAUGUGUACUUGGUCUCGAAAGGGAAAGCCAGCCUACUGCAGCCUCAAAAAC